GUGCUUCAGCAGUACAUACAUUAAACUGGAACAAUAGAGAAGAUUAGCAUGGCCCCAGAACAAAGAUGACACUCAAAUCUGUGAAGUGUUCUGUAUUUUC
rnacentral:snRNA from 1 species